UUUCACAGGCGUUCAAGGGUCGUGCUCGCAAAGUUAGCUUCAUAACAAGACGACCAUACUUUUGCACAGAGGUGCUUUAUUUGGUAACUUUCUUCACAAGUCGGUUAUUCUGAAAAUAUUUGCCUGUUUGGAUAAACGUUGCAUAAGGCCAUGAACUAUACACGGGUAUUUGUUGUGACCUUGGUAGUCAUAGCGACGUGCAGCCAGGUGUUUGCACCUCAUCCCCAGCGUAACAAUAAUGGAGCAAACAUUCUCGACAUUGUCAAAGAGAAAUGCAAACAACUCUGUACACAUGCUGGAACCUGUCCGCCCGAAUGUGCGGAGGAGUUUCUGGACCCUUGGUCAAGGUGAAGAGAAAACUGUCCGAUGAGAUUGACCAGUAGAUGCAAGCCAACAGAGAAAUAAGUUGACUAAUUUCGGUUAAUUCUUCAGUGUCGUACGAUAACAUUGUUGCAUGGUCUAAUAAGAAACUACAAUUAUUUGAACACACAAUACGGUCAUGAUUAUCUACUGGUUAUUUUUUUCGCCUGCGAUGGCAUAGCUCUUCAUUAACCCAUUUAUGCCUAGUGGACUCUUCCAUCCUUUAAAAUUGGAUCAAUUUAUUUCCAAAAUUAGGGAUGUCUAGUAUAUUUAUUUCUAUAUUUAGAAAAUUUCUUAAUGAAAUUCCUUUAAGCAAACAGCAAAGACCCUGAUGAGACGCCACCUCAUGCGGCGUCUCAUCUGGGUCUACGCUGUUUGCCAAGGCCUUUUUCUAGACGCUAGGCAUACAUGGGUUAAAUAGUUAUCCUUUCUCUUAGUUUUAGAGUAUUAUCUCAUUCACAUUCGCAAUUUCUAUGUAUUUAUAUAAGAAAGAUAUAUGAGUAAAUGUAAAGUAAAACUUGAAUUAAGGUAUAAAAAGAAUGCCUUUUUGUUAUAUUACACAACACGUAAAAUUAUGUUGGAAAUACAAUACA